CAUGCAAGUCGAGCGGCAAGUCGAGGAGUAAUCUAAGACCUAGAGCGGCGCACGGGUGCGUAACGCGUAUGCAAUCUACCUUUCACAAAGGGAUAGCCCAGAGAAAAUUUGGAUUAAUACCUUAUAGUAAUACGACUUGGCAUCAAGAUGUAUUUAAAGAUUUAUCGGUGAAAGAUGAGCAUGCGUCCCAUUAGCUAGUUGGUAAGGUAACGGCUUACCAAGGCAACGAUGGGUAGGGGUCCUGAGAGGGAGAUCCCCCACACUGGUACUGAGACACGGACCAGACUCCUACGGGAGGCAGCAGUGAGGAAUAUUGGACAAUGGGCGCAAGCCUGAUCCAGCCAUGCCGCGUGCAGGAUGACGGUCCUAUGGAUUGUAAACUGCUUUUAUACAGGAAGAAACAGUUCUACGUGUAGAACCUUGACGGUACUGUAAGAAUAAGGAUCGGCUAACUCCGUG
rnacentral:rRNA from 1 species